UACGUAGGGGGCAAGCGUUGUCCGGAAUCAUUGGGCGUAAAAAGCGUGUAGGCGGCCAUGUAGGUCCGUUGUGAAAACUCGAGGCUCAACCUCGAGACGCCGAUGGAAACCAUGUGGCUAGAGUCCGGAAGAGGAGAGUGGAAUUCCUGGUGUAGCGGUGAAAUGCGCAGAUAUCAGGAAGAACACCCGUGGCUAAGGCGGCUCUCUAGUACGGUACUGACGCUGAGACGCGAAAGCGUGGGGAGCGAACAGG
rnacentral:rRNA from 1 species